CCUACGGGCGGCAGCAGUGGGGAAUAUUGGACAAUGGGGGGAACCCUGAUCCAGCGACGCCGCGUGAGUGAAGAAGUAUUUUGGUAUGUAAAGCUCUAUCAGCAGGGAAGAAAGGAAUGACGGUAUCUGACUAAGAAGCCCCGGCUAACUAGGUGCCAGCAGCCGCGGGAAGACGGAGGGGGCAAGCGUUAUCCGGAGUUACUGGGUGUAAAGGGAGCGUAGAAGGUUAAGCAAGUCUGGAGUGAAAGGCGGGGGCCCAACCCCCGGACUGCUUUGGAAACUGUAUAACUGGAGUGCAGGAGAGGUAAGUGGAAUUCCUAGUGUAGCGGUGAAAUGCGUAGAUAUUAGGAGGUACACCAGUGGCGAAGGCGGCUUACUGGACUGUAACUGACGUUGAGGCUCGAAAGCGUGGGGAGCAAACAGGAUUAGAUACCCGGGUAGUC
rnacentral:rRNA from 1 species